rnacentral:pre_miRNA from 12 species
UUUCCACUCCUCGUGUUCACAGCGGACUUUAAUUGAUUAAGCGCACAAUUAAGGCACGCGGUGAAUGCCAAGAGAGGAAUC